rnacentral:rRNA from 1 species
UACGGAGGGUGCGAGCGUUGUCCGGAAUCAUUGGGCGUAAAGGGCGCGUAGGUGGCCCGGUCAGUUCGUGGUGAAAGCCCCGGGCUCAACCCGGGAGGGUCGCGGCGAACUGGGAGGCUUGAGGCCGGUAGAGGUGGGUGGAACUCCUGGUGGAGUGGUGAAAUGCGUAGAGAUCAGGAAGAACACCCGUGGCGAAGGCGGCCCACUGGGCCGGUGCUGACGCUGAGGCGCGAAGGCGUGGGGAGCGAACGGG